AUUGAACGCUGGCGGCAGGCCUAACACAUGCAAGUCGAACGAGCGGCGGACGGGUGAGUAGUGUAUGAGGAUCUGCCCGAUCGAGGGGUAUAACUAGUGGAACAGGUGGCUAAUACCGCAUACUAUCGUAUGAGCUCACAGGGGAUUAGCUAGUGGGUGGGGUAAAGGCUCACCGAGGCGACGAUCCCUAGCUGGUCUGAGAGGAUGAGCAGCCACACUGGGACUGAGACACGGCCCAGACUCCUACGGGAGGCAGCAGUGGGGAAUAUUGGGCAAUGGACGAAAGCCUGAUCGAGCAAUGCCGCGUGAAUGAAGAAGGUUUUAGGGUUGUAAAAUCCUGUCGUUGGGGAGGCGUUACCUACACAAGAAGCACCGGCUAACUCCGUGCCAGCCGCCGCGGUAAUAC
rnacentral:rRNA from 1 species